rnacentral:rRNA from 1 species
GAUGAACGCUGGCGGCGUGCUUAACACAUGCAAGUCGAACGGAAAGGCCCCAGCUUGCUGGGGUACUCGAGUGGCGAGCGGGUGAGUAACACGUGGGUGAUCUGCCCUGCACUUUGGGAUAAGCUUGGGAAACUGGGUCUAAUACCGAAUAUGACCACUUCUUGGAUGUUGUGGUGGAAAGCUUUUGCGGUGUGGGAUGAGCCUGCGGCCUAUCAGCUUGUUGGUGGGGUAAUGGCCUACCAAGGCGGCGACGGGUAUCCGGCCUGAGAGGGUGUACGGACACAUUGGGACUGAGAUACGGCCCAGACUCCUACGGGAGGCAGCAGUGGGGAAUAUUGCACAAUGGGCGCAAGCCUGAUGCAGCGACGCCGCGUGGGGGAUGAAGGCCUUCGGGUUGUAAACUCCUUUCGCUAUCGACGAAGCCUUUUAGGUGACGGUAGGUAGAUAAGAAGCACCGGCUAACUACGUGCCAGCCGCCGCCGUAA